AACGAACGCUGGCGGCAGGCCUAACACAUGCAAGUCGAGCGAAGCCUUCGGGCUUAGCGGCGGACGGGUGAGUAACGCGUGGGAACGUGCCCUUUGGUACGGAAUAGCCCCGGGAAACUGGGAGUAAUACCGUAUGUGGUCGAGAGACGAAAGAUUUAUCGCCAAAGGAUCGGCCCGCGUUGGAUUAGGUAGUUGGUGGGGUAAUGGCCUACCAAGCCGACGAUCCAUAGCUGGUUUGAGAGGAUGAUCAGCCACACUGGGACUGAGACACGGCCCAGACGCCUACGGGAGGCAGCAGUGGGGAAGUUUAGACAAUGGGGGAAACCCUGAUCUAGCCAUGCCGCGUGAUCGAUGAAGGCCUUAGGGUUGUAAAGAUCUUUCAGUGGGGAAGAUAAUGACUGUACCCACAGAAGAAGCCCCGGCUAACUCCGUGCCAGCAGCCGCGGUAAGAC
rnacentral:rRNA from 1 species